CCAAACCGCUGCGCCACCCAGGGAUCCCUCCAUUCCUGCCUUUAUAGCCACUUUAUGUAUAGUUAUUAGAUGCGUGGGGAAAGAAGCCAGCAUUCAUAAGAUGGACCAGCUAGUUUAAUGAUUUUUGAAAGCCUCUUCUACAGUGGCUAUAUUUUUUUAAAAAAACUUUUUAAAGAUUUUAUUUAUUUAUUCAUGAGACACACACACACACACACACACACACACACACAGAGGCAGAGACACAGGCAGAGGGAGAAGCAGGCUCCAUGCAGGGAACCCGAUAUGAGACUCGAUCCGGGGACUCCUGGAUCACGCCCUGGGCCAAAGGCAGGCGCUAAACUGCUGAGCCACCCAGGGAUCCCCAUAUAAGAAAUCACAUGAGACACAAGAUCAUCCCACUGUGUACCUAUUACAAGAAAUCCAUCCACAUACAUCUUCUCUAGACUCUUUCACCAUCAAUCAUCCAAUCCUGUUCUUCCCAAUAAGGGAAUCCUUUCUAACCAAUAAGCUGAGCCGUUCGUUGUCACUCAGGAGUAAGAUCGUCAGGUCAUGCCUCCUUUCAAGUAAAAUGGAAAAUUAUAUAUAUUGACUCUUUUUCUCCUUCUCUAGACCUUCACCUCUGAGUGGGCAUAUGAAGUAGCAAUACAUCAUUCUCAGCUGGUGCCAGCUUAGCCUGCAGCACUCUUUAAAAACAAGGUCUGGGGUGUUUUUUAAUGUAUGUGUCAGCUAUUCACAAGAAACUCUCUCCAUGACGCUAUAAGUGUGAGCUUAAAAAAUUGUGACAAUGCCUCAUGAGUAGGUGUCAUGUGAGCAUCAGCCACGUGUCCAGGCAGUUUUCUUAUUCCUUCAGUACCUUCGAGUCUAAUCUAGACCAUAAUACUCUGCAUCUAAUCACUCAAUAAAUCAUAAUUAUUGAUCCUUCACAAUCUUAAGGAUAAAUCUGAUAAUGCCUAAUGCAUGGUAGACAUCUCAGGUUACACUGUGUCCUGGUGUCUAAUGAUCUAACACCUAGUCUCUACCAGAUCUCAUUAAUAAGUCAGGAAUUGCUUCUCAAAAUGAAAUCGUUAUCAGCAGAAGACUUUUCCUCCAAGUCCUAGGAAGCUAUCCAUUCAUCUUUUAAUAUAGAUUAACAGAGGUUUUAUAUGUUAUCCUUAUUUAUUAUUCAUACUUGGAACACAAUUGAAUUUGAUGGAUGACAAGGAAGCUUGAGUGUGUGGUAGUCUUCUUUUGCUUUGUUCCCACCCAAAACAUGCAAAGUUGUGGGUAACUCAAUAAAUGGAUCAGAGCAUCACUCCCAAAAGUUCUCCAAGAGAGUCUGACAAGCACUAUACUACUCUGUUAACGGUAGACAGUGAAAGGCACAUCUUCCCUUCCAUUCAGAAGAAAUAUCAUAAAAUUCCUAAGACCUUUGCGCUCCCAAAAUUUACUGACUUGGCAAUCCCUAGAUAGGAUUUAUCUCUCAAGUACUAGCACAUAUGUAGACAACUGUGGAAUCUAGUACACUUGUAAUUUCUCCACAGUUCAAGUUGCAUGACGUCAUUAAUAUAGUGCUCCACAGCAAAAUUCUCUACAGAUGUUCAGAUGAUCAAUGUUGGAGCAGAUUACUGUGCAUCAGUUACCAAUCCCAGGAGAGAACUCUAAGCCCUUCUCCCAAUUGCACCUUGUCAUCAGAGUCACCCGGAACACAAUGCAGUCCAGCACUGGGUGAAACAAUACUUAACCUUAACUUUUAUAAAGAACAGAUAGAGAAAGAUAAGCUUCUAUAGUGGCUGUCAUUCUUCUAUGGCUUUGGGUCUUUUCCUGUGGCUGAUACAGAGCAAUUUGUCUACUGUAGCUAUCCCUCUUGUACCACAGGAGAAAGACUUUGUCUCCUCCCUUCAGAAGACAGAUAUAACAAUGGAGUUGACCAUGUGCCAUAUGUCUCACAUACAUCAAAACAAAAGAAUUUUAUUUGAUUCUGAAACAGGGAAGGAAAUUCCCACACAAGAUGAGUUGUGGACUAUUUUCUCUUGAUAAGGAAGUGUUCCAAGCCCAACACCCAUUCUUACAUGGUGAGUGGGAGUUGAAAGACUGAGUGUGUGAGACUGUUCUUCCCAACAAUUAAUGUUCCACUGGGCUCUAGAGUAAAAAGAUUUGAAAAGACAUAAACUUGACAGUGAAGGUACACUUCCAUUCAUGUCAGGUGAAAAUGAAAUGCUUCUCAUCAUCUUUCUGAUUCCUGUGAUAGGGUAGAUUUCUUGCAAACAUGUAUGCAAUAAUUCCUCAUAUCCCUAUAUGAUACUUUUUGGCAAUGGGAUUGUGCCAUCCUUCACAUGAAGUAGCAUAUAUUUCUCCACCCUUUGAAUGAGAAAUGACCUUGUAAUUUGCUUUGACCAGCAAAAUGUCACAGAAAUGAUGCUGUGAGACUUCUAAGCCUCAAGAUGCCUUGAAGCUUCUGCUCUCACCUUCUACCUAGAAUCUGACUUUAAAGAAGCCAUAAAAAAGGACAACUAGGAAUAUGAUGACCUUUUGUUUUAUUGUUUUGGAGGUAAGGGGCAGUUCCAGGAGUUUCUCUUGUCCCAUCUUCCUAUCAUAAUAGUUCUUACUUCACACACAGGGAGGCAAUGUAGGGAUUUUUCAGUGGCCAAGAAUGUUUUUUCCAACUCUCCUUUCAGAAUCUGAGAUCUCCAUAGGCUGGAUCUGUGGGCCCAUAGAAACCUUUCUGAGAUGGAAUCAAGCUUGUAAAAUACUCAACACAGAAGGGACUUUUGCCACUUUUACUCAGAGCCCAAUCACACACCUGUGCCUAAUUACAAGAGGAUUAGAAAAUGUACAGAAGAACAUACAUAAUUUGGGGGCAGUAAAUUCUGCCACAAUUGUCUACUGCUAUUUGUCAGAAGAAAAGAAACUAACUUCAGUUUUAUUCCUCUGUAGCUAACUUUCAUUUGCUUUUGUUUACUAAGAUAUUUUAUAGUAUUUUCAUCUUGUUUUAAUGUUUCUCAAGGUGAAUGUAAGUAUGGAUUGAUUUUCACUGAUUUUUCUGGGAAUAUAAACUACUACAUUAGUCUCUAGUUCCUGCCUGGUAGUUUUGAGAAAAAAACUUUCUCUGGAUUCUGGUAUCAGUGUUAGAGAAAAGGAAGGUGGAAAAAGACAAGGGGCAAAGGCAAAAACUAUUUAACAGAGUAGAGAAAGAAUAUUUUCUCUUGGUUGGCUCAGACCUUGAAUUUCUAAGUCCAUUGACAUAGUGGGAAAGUUAUAAAUUGUCUUUCUACUUUUUUUAAAGAAGCAAGGCAAAAUGUAAGUGUGCUAUAACUUCAAAUCAGAUUAGAUUUUCUUAACUUUAGUUCUAUUUGCCUAUAAGGAAAGGAAGACUUUGCAUGGUUUCCAACAAUAAGUUGUUUGUUUUUUGAACUUUAAAGUUCUAUAAUGAGGUUUCAGCUCUUUCCAUGUUUUCUUUAGUUUUGCAGAAGGUUGAAAAAGACUGGGUAGAUAUGUGACUUUUUAAUCCAGGGCACAGCACAGUAAUUUAACAUACUAUUGAUCAUGUUGUAUCCUCAAAGUUGAUAAGGAUAGACUGGUACUUUGAGAACAUGAGAUUUAGGGUGGUUAAACUAUCCUGCUCUGUAGCAGUAGCAGUUUCACUAAAUACAAGAGUGUAUUUAAUGUUCACUGGCUCUCUCAAGCCUGCUGUAAUAUGACAAGAUUUCCAAAGCCUCCUCAGAAAUACUAAGUUGACUUCCAUUCUUCUCACUGAUUGUAUGUUCCCUAGUCCAGCCUUGAAUCCUACAUAUCAUGGAAACUCAUCAGCAUAACAUGAAAAAAAAAAAAAAAAAGAAGCCAAGAAAAGAAAGAAGGGAAUGAAAAGAAAAAAAAAAAUGCUUCAGACCGGGAAUGUUUCUAUGUAAAGAGAUCUGAAAUAUUUAUUUCCUAAUUGAGAGAUAAAAUGCAUGUAGAACAAAGCAGUUUGUGACCUGAGAAUUUUCUUUUUUUAUCUUCCCUAAUCCUUAUCUAUUUUCCCAUUUGAGCAAUAUGCAGAGAAUAAAGAGAGCCUAGAGACAG
rnacentral:lncRNA from 1 species